UACAGAGGUCUCAAGCGUUGUUCGGAUUCAUUGGGCGUAAAGGGUGCGUAGGUGGCGCCGUAAGUCAGGUGUGAAAUCCCGGGGCUCAACCUCGGAACUGCAUUUGAAACUCUUUUUCUUGAGGGUAGGCGGAGAAAACAGAAUUCCACAUGUAGCGGUGAAAUGCGUAGAUAUGUGGAGGAAUACCGGUGGCGAAGGCGGUUUUCUAGCUUAUACCUGACGCUGAGGCGCGAAAGCAAGGGGAGCAAACAGG
rnacentral:rRNA from 1 species